GGAGUGCUCUUGGACCCCAGACCGACAGUGGGGAGGCCAGAUCAGUCGAUCUGGACCCCCCAAAUCACAUAUUUUCUUUGAAGAUAUAACCAUGCAUCAUUACAAGAUGAACCUAUGUAAUGUCAUGAGAAGAGUCAGCUUCAAUCUCACCAUUGGGAUCCAUCUGUGGAUCCUAUUGGAUGCUAUGUGGCCUUCAGGACUGGGCUGUAGAAAUCUGUACAGAUUUCUAAUUAAGAAAGAGAAACCAACUGGUUGAAUCUGAGGGUGUAUUUCUUCUCAUGGUGUAAUCAUUACAGUCUCCUCACCACAUGCACCGUAUUCCAUCUCUGCAUAGAGAGGCCACUGGGCUGGGUUGGAGUGCUCCUUGAUUGUGAUUCAGUUUCCUUGAUGUUGCCCAGAGUUCCUGCAUAUACAAGUAUCCUCCUGGCGCCUUCAGUUAUUCUGUCAAGCCUUUCUUCUCCACCAGCUACACAUGAUCAUAGGAAAAUAUAAUCCUAAUCUUGUACUUCAGUGGUCUUUAAGUAUGUGCUUUGUGAUGUUUUUAUUGCUACUAAAUAUUAAAAUACUAUUAAAUAUAAA